UGGACUUUUGACAGAGUGCCUAGCAUCCAAU
rnacentral:piRNA from 1 species